rnacentral:rRNA from 1 species
GAUGAACGCUGGCGGCGUGCCUCAUACAUGCAAGUCGAGCGAAUGGAUUAAGAGCUUGCUCUUAUGAAGUUAGCGGCGGACGGGUGAGUAACACGUGGGUAACCUGCCCCUAAGACUGGGAUAACUCCGGGCAACCGCGGCUCAUACCGGAUAACAUUUUGAACCGCAUGGUUCGAAAUUGGAAGGCGGCUGCGGCUGUCACUUAUGGCUGGGCCCGCGUCGCAUUAGCUAGUUGGUGAGGUAACGGCGCACCAAGGCAACGAUGCGUAGCCGACCUGAGAGGGUGCUCUGCCACACUGUGACUGAGACACGGCCCAGACUCCUACGGGAGGCAGCAGUAGUGAAUCUUCCGCAAUGGACGAAAGUCUGACGGAGCAACGCCGCGUGAGUGAUGAAGGCUUUCGGGUCGUAAAACUCUGCUGUUAGGGAAGAACAAGUGCUAGUUGAAUAAGCUGGCACCUUGACGGUACCUAACCAGAAAGCCACGGCUAACUACGUGCCAGCCGCCGCGGUAA